CCUACGGGAGGCAGCAGUGAGGAAUAUUUGUCAAUGGACGAGAGUCUGAACCAGCCAAGUAGCGUGAAGGAUGACUGCCCUAUGGGUUGUAAACUUCUUUUAUAUGGGAAUAAAAUGUUCCACGUGUGGGAUUUUGUAUGUACCAUAUGAAUAAUGAUCGGCUAACUCCGUGCCAGCAGCCGCGGUAAUACGGAGGAUCCGAGCGUUAUCCGGAUUUAUUGGGUUUAAAGGGAGCGUAGGUGGAUUGUUAAGUCAGUUGUGAAAGUUUGCGGCUCAAACGUAAAAUUGCAGUUGAAACUGGCAGUCUUGAGUACAGUAGAGGUGGGCGGAAUUCGUGGUGUAGCGGUGAAAUGCUUAGAUAUCACGAAGAACUCCGAUUGCGAAGGCAGUUCACUGGACUGCAACUGACACUGAGGCUCGAAAGUGUGGGUAUCAAACAGGAUUAGAUACCCCUGUAGUC
rnacentral:rRNA from 1 species